ncrna:unclassified sequences DTF3800-VII RNA
CGCAGGCAUGCGCGGGGUGACAGCUAGGCCAGUGUAGGCUGGCAGUGCCGCCAUUGUGACGACCUCAGCCGUGGCGGCAUGGGAUCCUAGCUCCCGGGGCCUGCACAGUU